rnacentral:lncRNA from 1 species
AAAAAAAAAAAAAAAUGCUGGUGGUAGAACCUAGAUGGUGUGCACACUGAAGUUCAUGGAGUUUUACAGCAAACACCUAUGAAGAUUUAGUUAAUGUUACAAAAUGUGACACCAUGCCCUACCCCAAUAGAGUGAAGGUAUGAGACUCUCUACAAUCAGUAUUUUUACAACCUCUCCAGAUGAUUAGUAUAGAGCCAGCACUGGAAACCCCUACUUUAAUCACUUCCUAACCACCUAUUCUAAGCUCACCGCCUCACCUCUCAUCUCAGUGAGCUUGUUUAAAAGCUACUUGAGGCUGGGCAUGGUGGCUCACGCCUGUAAUUCCAGCACUUUGGGAGACCGAGGCAGGCGGAUCACCUGAGGUCAGGAGUUUGGGACCAGCCUGGACAACAUGGUAAAACCUUGUCUCUACUAGAAAUACAAAAAAAUUAGCCAGGCAUGGUGGCGGGUACCUGUACUCCCAGCUACUUGGGAGACUGAGGCAGGAGAAUCACUUGCACCUGGGAACCUGGAGUGGCUGGGACUACAGGUGCCCACCAUCAUGCCCAGCUAAUUUUUUGUAUUUUUAGUAGAGGGGGUUUCACCGUGUUAACCAGGAUGGUCUCAAUCUCCUGACCUCGUGAUCUGCCCGCCUCAGCCUCCCAAAGUGCUGGGAUUAUGGGCACGAGCCACCGCACCAGGCAAUUUACUUCUAACCACUUACCAGUACUUCCCGGCUAGAUGUUGGUCCUUGCACCUGCACUUCCUACUGCAUCCCUCCCCCACCUCAGCCAUUAGGCAGUUCCCAUCUUCAUUCCUUCCUUCUCCUUCCCUCUUAGUGUCAAUUUGAGUUUUCUAGUUUAGGUUCUCAAGGGGAGGACCCAGACUGGCAGAACCAACACUUAAGAAUGCAGAUUCUAGGCUUCACUAGACCACCUGAAUCAAACCCUGGGUUGGGGCCCAGUCAUCAAUUUCAACAAGCCCUCCAGCUGAGGAUGAUGCCUUCAGAAUCACUAGCCUAACCUAUGACCAAGUUCAAGAAGCCACCCUGGCUACGAAGUUCACACUGGUUUUCUUUGCCCCUGCAGAAAGCCUCCAGGAAGGCUAACACCUGCCUUUUUUUUUUUUUUUGGAGAUGGAGUCUCACUGUCACUCAGGCUGGAGGUGCAGUGGCACAAUCUCUGCUCACUGCAACCUCUGCCUCCCAGGUUCAAGCUAUUCUCCUGCUUCAGCCUCCCAGGUAGCUGGGAUUACAGGUACCCAACCACCACACUCAGCUAAUUUUUUUUGUAUAUUUAGUAGAGUCGGGGUUUU